rnacentral:lncRNA from 1 species
ACAAUUAUGAAAAUACAUAUAGUAGUGCUAGAGAAAGUGCACCAUAAUGUGAGUCUAUACAUUGUAUUAGAUGAAGCACAUUAUAUAACUGAUUAGGAUGAGAACAAUAUACACUAACUUGAGAGGGAAUACACUAACAAGCCACUAAUCUGAUAAAUUUACUAACCUAGGCAACAACUUGAAUUUCCAAUACUGUGAUAUACUAUUGAAUAUGUCUUUCAACAUACCUGCAGAGACAAGGUUAAAAACUGCACACGCCUUACAUCGG